rnacentral:rRNA from 1 species
GACGAACGCUGGCGGCGUGCUUAACACAUGCAAGUCGAACAGAAAGGCCCUGCUUUUGUGGGGUGCUCGAGUGGCGAACGGGUGAGUAACACGUGAGUAACCUGCCCUUGACUUUGGGAUGACUUCAGGAAACUGGGGCUAAUACCGGAUAGGAGCUCCUGCUGCAUGGUGGGGGUUGGAAAGUUUCGGCGGUUGGGGAUGGACUCGCGGCUUAUCAGCUUGUUGGUGGGGUAGUGGCUUACCAAGGCUUUGACGGGUAGCCGGCCUGAGAGGGUGACCGGCCACAUUGGGACUGAGAUACGGCCCAGACUCCUACGGGAGGCAGCAGUGGGGAAUAUUGCACAAUGGGCGGAAGCCUGAUGCAGCAACGCCGCGUGCGGGAUGACGGCCUUCGGGUUGUAAACCGCUUUCGCCUGUGACGAAGCGUGAGUGACGGUAAUGGGUAAAGAAGCACCGGCUAACUACGUG